UCAACUCCUCGUGUACUCAAUGUUCACGAGUUCGUGUAUUAAGUACUACAUUGUAUUGUCGCCUCUGUUUAGCUCUUUUUUUAAUGCAAGUUUACAGCUACUCGGACUUCCUAAUUGCAGGCUAUAUUAAACUACCGAUGAUCUAAUUUGUGGCAUUAUUACCUUAAGAAAAGAUUUGUGUUUAAUUUUCUUUAUAUGUAGGCGUAUAAGUUCUUACCAAAUGAACUUGCUCGGAUUUAAGAGGUUACUGAAAAAAUGCAAAUAUUUUCAACGCGGACAUGGUUUUAAACGGGUCUUUGCGCCAUUUGAUGUAACAGGUCAUCUAGUAAUAACAAAGCACUGGUUGAGUCCGUUGGGUUCAACGUCAUGGUCUUUUUGCGAAAAAGUCACUGUACGUUUUGAUAACUAAACCCGCAGUCCCUUUCUAAGUGACUAAACUGAGAUAACGUUUAGUUUUUGCAAAACAGACCCUGUAGUCUGAUAUAUUUGACCCGCAGUCCUUUUAAAAGUGGUUAAUCGAGAAAACGCACGGGCUCCUUCUCUGAUGCGUGCUCUCUUCGAUCCGUAAUGGCGCCGCCGUCGCCAGCGGAUAGUCUUCUUCUCCGGCCACCGUCCGUCGCCCUUUUCUCCUUCCCCUCCCCAUCCGGCCUUAAUCUUCUCCGGCGUCACCCGUAGCCUUCUCAAUCCCCAACCUCCGCUCUCUGAUUUGGAUCGAAGUUGGAUUUGGAUCAAAGUUAGAGUCCGUGUCCUUCUCCAGCACAAAGCCAUGGAGCAACUUGGCUGCCAUAAGAAGGAAGGAGCCUCGACCGGAAUCUCUAUCAGGUUGCGUCGCCAGAACCUCCAUCGAGCUCCGCCGAGUUCGCCGGCUGAAGAAGAACAUCCGUCAAGUCGUACAAUGUCGCCUCCGCUGAGUUCGCCGGAGGAACAACAUCCGCCGUCCGAACGUGCUUCACCAGAGAGGAAGCAGAUUUGGGGCUGCGCUUUGGUCUGCGGCGAGCUGGAUAGGGGAAGCAUUUAAUCCGAUCAAGGCCACCAACUAGACAAGAAGAAUCGAAUAACUCUUUACUGAUUACCAUGGGAGGCAAGCCAAAAUCUGACAGCGAGCACAGCUAUUGUGGUGCCUGGUUGCAUCCCUUGGCCUGGUGAGUAUCCAAUGACAUGGGAAAUUAAAGAUUUGCAUGAGACUGACGAUUGUGAUUUUGGCCCUGUACUGAAUAAUUUUGGGAGUGACUGGGUGAUGAUGAUUACAAGCCAGGCGGACUGCAUGUGAUGAGUUAAGGCACAAGAACUACGACCAUUUUAGCUCCAGCACCACAUAAUCUCGCGCAUUCAAAUUGCUAGCUACACGAAAUACGCCCAGAUCUACGAGUAGAAAUCCAAGUCUCAACAACAUCCAGGAGAUGUACCUAUGUAGCUACUGUUAGUUCAAAAGCUUUAUUUCACAAGUUGGCAACACGAUAUUCAGGAUGUUAAGCAGGUGGAACACCUUUGCAAUCUUAUCAAGCUUUACGCUAAACUGGCACUCUUACUUGAUCCCAUAUUACUCCUUCGAACAAUUUGUGCGCAAAGUUGAGGAAGUUGGGGCCAGUAAUCGUGUUAGAAUAAACCUCUUUCUUCCUUUAAGGAUUUGUUUCCAUACUGUGGGGCAGCAGGAUCUGAGUCCCACUAUGAGGGAUUGACCUUCAGAGAUAAGCUACCGGCGUCAUACUGCCCCCACAAGGUAAACCCGCCAUUUAUCUUGGGUCCCAAAUUGCAGUGUUUGUCCCUCUUCAUUUGUUAUUAGUCUAUGUGAUUUCAUUCUUUAGCAUCUGAUGUGGUAGACCGUUUAAUCAAUUUUCACGGAUAGUCUAGCUCAUGUGUUUCUGAUCUAAGUGGUGCCACAUGUUUCUUCAUGAAGCCUCACAAGAAAGUUAGAUUCUUCUCCAUAUCUUCAAAUUGGCUGUUUAUUGAUGAGCAAGGUUGAUUUGAGCCGUCUUCUGUAAGUGCUCCAUUGCAACCUUAAAACCAGUCGCAAAAUUGUUUUGGUCCAUGCACGACUUAAAUAACCUACUGUGUAUUUAACUAUUGAUGUGUAUAGGCAAUUAUUUACUUCUAUAUACGGAUAUCUUCGUUACAUCAAAAAAUGUUUUGUACUAAUUGGUAAGUAAAUAAAUUUAAAAUAGUCAGUAUGAUAGUUCUUCUCUCCUCAAGUCUCAGAUCUGUUUAGACCUAUUUUGUUUUUGUACUGACUCUUGAAUUUUCUGCUUUCUAUUUCCGAACCCUUUUGAUAUGUUCUUUACUCCUGAUUUCAGCCUUUUAAGGUCUGUUCUUCUUCAGGGAUUGCAGAGAGCAUGGACCACCGUCGUUGUCUUUGGUGUGUUGCUUGCAUUUUUCUAAUUCUUGCACUACAGAGACCUCAGUCUAUCCAUGUAGGUCAUGCCUUCUAAUCAGUCUUGUGACUCUUAUGUACGCGUAUGCUCUUGCAUUACUUACUAGAUCUUGUUAUAUACGAUGAUCCAUUGUCAGUUAUACAAAGGUUCUGAUUUUAAAAUUUUGUAAUGUUCAGUUUAGAUUUAAUUUUAUUCCACCUCUUUUUGAAUGGACAAUGUGUGUGCUGUUUAAAUGAUCACUAUGUGAAAUUCAUAGGCAUUGUGAGGGCAUGGAGAAAGGAUUCGAUUUUUGAUUCUUUUUUUCAGGGUUCAGAGCUAUUACCUGCUACACCUACACACAUGGAAAACUUAAACUUAGCAGUCCAAAAUUAAGCAGCAAACUUUAUUGCCGGUCAUCUGAAAAUUCAGUGACAACUGCUGACACAUGAGCUUCAUUUUUUAGUAGAGUUAGUAGAUGAUGCAGAUGACAGUUCUACCUCUCUGACUGAAACAAGAACUUUCUGACCAAGGGCAUACCUGCAGUACAGCAGGAAGUCCUAAGGCACGCAUCACGCAUUCACAAAAGAUAUGGAGCUGAUGUUUUAGAUCAGUACUAGCAUAUUGGUACGUAGUGUGUGUGUGUGUUUUAGCAUAGUAGUACUAGCAUACCUGCAGGAGGUCCUAAUUUUGUUCAGUUCUAUACAAAUUUGAGUUGGUACGUAGUGUUGAGAGGAUCCUAAAAUAUUGUACUACAUAAUCUCUUUCCAGGUUCUUGAAACUUGCACUCUUCUGUUGAAUUUCGCAUUUUGGUCGAUCUGUACUGCAUCUUUUAUUGUUGUCAGCCUAGAAUUAGAUCACAUUUUGAUCUUUAACAGCCAGAUUCAUAAUUAUACCUUAAUACUAAUUUAACUGCAUGAUUUAAUAGUGGCUGCAAUAUUAUUUCAUGGUCCACAACAGAACUAAAUGUAUCAAAAUGAAACAUUCUUCUUCCCAUGUGUCAAAGUAUUAAGCAAUCAAAUAUUUUAGUAUCUAAAUUGUUAUGUUUAGGAUGAUAUAUUUCAAAGAGCCACAUGUGCCCAAAACAAUGGUGCCAAGUGCGUAGACAAUGAAGCAUUACCUUUUCUUGCUAAGGUACAUAUGUUGAUUUCAGUUGUGUGCCACGUGUUUGCUGUAAUGUCUAGAGGAGAUUAUGAAGUGGUUUUCUUUGGCAAUUAAACAAAUAAACCUCCCGCCCUUAGAUUUUGAAGAACGUUUGUUUAUGCAAGGGUUUGCUGGGAAAAACCAUCUCCAGAAAAAUAGGGCCAAAUUUGAAUUCUAAUAGAGUUGAAAAGACGCAUAGAGCAAGAGACAAGAAUAAUACUUCCUUGUGGGCUUCCUGAGAAUCUACAAUGAAGAAUAAGAAGGGGGCAGUAACUAAGUAUGCAUGUCAUAGCUGAUUCUAUUGAAAAUAGUUAUACAUGCAUUUUCAGGAAAAUUAAGCUUUGAACCUUACCAACGCCCGUGAUUUGAAUCUUGGUGCUUGUGAAUUCUGAACGAAGUACAAGCAGCCAAUCUAUCUGAAUGAAUUUGUUGAUGAUUUGCAUGGUUAUUCUUCAUUCUGGGUGCAUGACUAUUCUUGGGUUUGAGCCUUGCAUGCAGCAAUGAGAUCUAAUUGCACUGUUUUGUGAGCCAUUUAAACUGAAAUCAAUCAUCCAUUUUAUUCAGAAAGUUUAUACCAAUACUUUGGAUCACUACUGUACUUCUAUUUCGACAACAAAAUUUGUUUCAACUUGCCAUGUGUCAGUUCACCAACAGCACCAAGACCAUGCAACUUGGAACAUCAAGUAAGAGCAUAUCCAUGUUUACUUAUUAUAUUCUUUGAGAAAGCUAUGGGAUUUACAAAUUGAAAAUAUGAAAUGUUCGAACAAUGUUGUUCGUUUGAUUACUUGCAAAGUUGUUUGAGUGGUAUUUUUUUCAACUGCUUAAGCAUUUAUUUAUUUAUUUAUUUUUCACCCGGUGCAACGCACGGGCACUUUCGCUAGUAAUAAUAAUAAUAAAGCACGCAUUGAGGCUCUCGGGUUCACCGUCACGUCCUUUUUACACAAAGGUCUCUGUGGUUUUUAGGAAUUGAACCCACAGUCCUUUUGUAAACCGAUCAAGAAAACGUUUCGGUUUUACAAAUUAACCCUGUAUUUAUCUGUAUUCAAUCCGCGAUCCUUUCUUCCAACACUUAUCCCCUCGCUCCAGCGCUAACCCUUCUCGGCCCCAAGCCGCUCGCCCUGGUCGCCACCGCCGGCCUCCAUUGCAUCGCCUCGAUGCCCGACGCCCGAAUCUCGCAGCCCUCCACCAGAUGAAAGCCGCCCGCCACCACAAGACCGCUGCUUCCUAUCAGACCCAAGGUGGUCUGGGCGCUGAUCCUCUCUCCCAGAGGCGCCACCAUCUCCGAGCCGCCGUGGAUCUUGUGCUGAUGGGACUGACCGCCUUCGUGGCCCUGGCAAGCUUGCUAGCCGCUGCCGGAGACCCAAAUCCCCGAGCUCUACGAGCAAGCUAGCCGUCCUAGACGGCUCGCCAAAAAACCUCUCCAUGCCCCCUUGAGCGGUUGAGCCCCGCAGCCACCUCGCCAUCCGCCGUUGGAGCCGAGCGCGCAGGCGGACGGGGACGAGGACAGCGUGUACAGUGGAGGUGUUUCAGGGACGAUGAGGAGUUCCAACAAAUGGAAGAAGCGGCGGCACUCCCCGACAACCUCCUUCAUGGAAUCCUCGAGCGCCUCGACCCACGCAAGGGGGCGACCCUUCCCCCACCGUCUCUUCCUCCUGCACCUUAACGUCGGCCACUUCCCUGGCGCUGCACCGGUCGAGAUCAUGGGCACAUUCACGGCUGCAACACAUCCAUGUAUCCUCCUCCAGCCGGGUGCAAAUGCGAUUGCAAGAUUGCUAUCGAGGCCCCCUCAUCUUAUGCAUGUCGGUCCUCAAGGGAGCAUAUAUACUCAUUGCUUCUCAUUCCAUAUUUGUUCAUUACGUUUAUUUGCUAAAUUGAUGCUCAUGAUUGACUAAUUGUGGUUCGCACUUCAGAAUCAUUUGCAUCUCUUUGUUAUCAAUUUUUGUUGCAACUGUUCUGCCUGCAAGUAGGGAUUCUUGGCCGCCCUCACAUCCUUCUCCUAGCCUCGUCCAGGCAAGGAAACAGUGACCCAGAGUCAAUGACUAAGUUGAUUCAAGCCGGCUCCUUACCAUGGUGAAGCUGUGAUGUGGGAUGGCGCCAUGGCGCCAUUGGUGCUACUUCUGAUUGCUCACAAUUUCAGUUUGGAUGAUAUGAUACAAGCCCCUGUUUCAGUUUAUUUUUUCUGAAAAAUUAUUGUUACUAGCCAAGGAUUGAACCAUGAAAUUUCAUGUUGCUGAAUACAUAUACCUAAACAUGGUGGCUUCAACUUGGUUACAGUAAUUCUUGGGCAUGAUGCUGGAGUAAUUCUUGAAGUUUCAUGUAUUCUGCUCUUUCUUCAGUUAUCAAUUAGCUUAAUUGCAUACACAUGAAUAGAUAUGCUUGCUGCACCUAGCAAAAUAAGAUUAGGAGGUGUAUUCGGUGGAGUGCAUUUAAUUGGUUUUGACAUCUCUGUAAUAUACUGUAUCCGUCGACUUUGCAGCUGUCGUCUCCGUCGACUUCGCCUUCGUCGUCUCCGUCGACUUCGCCGCAAGGCCAUCUGCCAUCGCCUCCGCCGACUUGGCCGGAAGACCAUCAACUAUCGCCUAGACCUACUUUGCCGCAGAUGUAAUUUUGCUUCAGGGUUGGCCAUAGCAGUUCUUCGGAGCCACUAGGCAUCAAUUGACAGAGAAGAAACUGUUUCUAUUAGUCCCUUUGAUUUUCUUCCGCUUGGGGAGUUCCUACAUGCUUUUAAGUAUCUGUUUUCACGGGAUAAUUCAGUCCCUAUGUUUCUUGAGAGGAUAGGACUAACUGAAAAAUAUUAUAUGGCUCACAACAUGAAGAAGCAUGCAGUAAUUUAUAAGUUUUGCUGUUUGCUAAA